GUCCACGCCGUAAACUAUGGACACUUGGUGUCGGAGGUAUUGACCCCUUCGGUGCCGUAGCUAACGCGUUAAGUGUCCCGCCUGGGGAGUACGGUCGCAAGAUUAAAACUCAAAGAAAUUGACGGGGGCCCGCACAAGCGGUGGAGCAUGUGGUUUAAUUCGAUGCAACGCGAAAUACCUUACCUGGGUUUGAAUUGCAAUGGACAGCUCUAGAGAUAGAGUCUUUCUUCGGAACUGUUGUGAAGGUGCUGCAUGGCU
rnacentral:rRNA from 1 species